GAAUACCAAAGGCAAACUAUGCGAAAGCAUAGGACGCAAAGCCACGGGUCUAAAGCGAUUGCAUGACAGCCGGGUUGCCAUC
rnacentral:ncRNA from 3 species